GUGGGGAAUAUUCCGCAAUGGACGAAAGUCUGACGGAGCAACGCCGCGUGAGUGAUGAAGGUUUUCGGACUGUAAAGCUCUGUUGUUUAGGACGAAAGUGCCUGUUGCAAAUAGUUACAGGUAUUGACGGUACUGAACGAGGAAGCCACGGCUAACUACGUGCCAGCAGCCGCGGUAAUACGUAGGUGGCAAGCGUUGUCCGGACUUAUUGGGCGUAAAGAGCAUGUAGGCGGGAAUCUAAGUCUGUUGUGAAAAUGCGGGGCUCAACCCCGUAUUGCGAUGGAAACUGGGUUUCUUGAGUGCAGGAGAGGAAAGGGGAAUUCCCAGUGUAGCGGUGAAAUGCGUAGAUAUUGGGAGGAACACCAGUGGCGAAGGCGCCUUUCUGGACUGUGUCUGACGCUGAGAUGCGAAAGCCAGGGUAGCGAACGGGAUUAGAAACCCGAGUAGUCC
rnacentral:rRNA from 1 species